UUUUUGAGUACCUUAUCUCCACAUCUCGUAAGAUCUUAUUUGCAUGGUAGAUUGGUUUUUGAGUUCUUACAUCUUCUUGGCCAAGUAUCAAACUAACAACAACAGGUGAGAUCAAUAAAUACACAUAUAAUUCCUCAUCUGCCAUUGAUUUGGAAAGCAGUGAGGGUGUUUAAAGGUACUUCUUGAGAUCCUCAAACAUAGCUUGGUACUCC
rnacentral:lncRNA from 1 species